ACCCCACCAGCUAGCCCACCUAAACUACAGCAACAACCAACAUUAAUAACCCCAAAACCCCUAGUCAUCGCUUAAACAAAACAUUUUUCCGCCCUAGUAUGGGAGACAGAAAAGGACCCAUGGCGCCAUAGAAGCAGUACCGCAAGGGAAGGCUGAAAGAGAAAUGAAAAAGCCCAGUAAAGGUAAGGAAAGCAGAGACUAAUCCUCGUACCUUUUGCAUCAUGACUUAGCUAGUACCCUUCAAGCAAAGAGUCCUUCAUGUUUGAGCCCCCGAAACUGCGCGAGCUACUCCAAGACAGCCUAUUACAGGGCACACCCGUCUCUGUGGCAAAAGGGUGGGAAGAGCUUCGAGUAGAGGUGACAGACCUACCGAGCCCAGUUAUAGCUGGUUGCCUGAGAAAUGAAUAGAAGUUCACCCUUUUGACUUUUUUUACCAGAAAAGGGCAAGACCACCCCCCACGGGCCUGAGAACAUCAAAAGAGACAUUCAAAGGAGGCACAGCUCCCUUGAAAGAAGAUACAACUUUAAUAGAAAGCUAAAGACCAAAAGAUAUAAGGAAGCAUGCCCAGGUGGGCCUAAAAGCAGCCAUCCCCCCGAAAAGCGUUAAAGCUUAAGUAUGACACACCACUGAUACCGACAAAAAUAUCUAAAGCUACUCCAUUUAUUAGGCCUUCCUAUGCAUCCAUAGGAGUGAAACUGCUAAUAUGAGUAAUAAGAGAGGCCCCCCCCCUCUCUCCUCGCAGAUGUGUAAAUCAGAACGGACCCCCCGCUGAAAAUUAACGCCCCCAAAGCCAGAGGGCCCUGGGCAACACUAAUUAAGUCUAGAAAUCCCCCCCAUCCCCCAGCGUUAACCCAACACAGGCCUGCCACUGGGAAAGACAAAAAGAGAAAGAAGGAACUCGGCAAACACUGGCCUCGCCUGUUUACCAAAAACACCGCCUCUUGCCCUAACAAUAUAAGAGGUCCCGCCUGCCCUGUGACGAAAGUUUAACGGCCGCGGUAUUUUGACCGUGCGAAGGUAGCGUAAUCACUUGUCUUUUAAAUAAGGACCUGUAUGAAUGGCAUGACGAGGGCUGUCCUGUCUCCUUUCUCCCGUCAAUGAAAUUGAUCUGCUCGUGCAGAAGCGAGCAUAAGCACAUAAGACGAGAAGACCCUAUGGAGCUUUAGACACCAUAGUAGCCCCCGUUUAAACUCCUUGGACAAUAGGACAAAACCUAGGGGCCCCUGCUUUUUUGUCUUUGGUUGGGGCGACCGCGGAGAAAAACGAACCCCCCGCGAGGAACAGGAAGACUCCUUGAAGCCAGGCCCCCAGGCCUAAUAUACAGAAAAUCUGCCCAUAAAGAUCCGGCAAUGCCGAUCAACGAACCCAGUUACCCUAGGGAUAACAGCGCAAUCCCCUUUUAGAGCCCCCAUCGACAAGGGGGUUUACGACCUCGAUGUUGGAUCAGGACCUCCUAAUGGUGCAGCCGCUAUUCAGGGUUC
rnacentral:rRNA from 1 species